rnacentral:rRNA from 1 species
CGUAAGGCGCCGAAUGAGUCAUUAAAAAAAUUAACAUCAUCCGAUCCCUAGUCGGCAUAGUUUAUGGUUAAGACUACGACGGUAUCUGAUCGUCUUCGAUCCCCCUAACUUUCGUUCUUGAUUAAUGAAAACAUCCUUGGCAAAUGCUUUCGCAGUAGUUAGUCUUCAAUAAAUCCAAGAAUUUCACCUCUGACAAUUGAAUACUAAUGCCCCCAACUAUCCCUAUUAAUCAUUACGUCAAUCUUAGAAACCAACAAAAUAAGAUCGAACGUCCUAUUUCAUUAUUCCAUGCUAAUGUAUUCAAGCGUUAGCCUGCUUUAAACACUCUAAUUUUUUCAAAGUAACAGUCCAGUCUCCCCGCAACACCAAAUUAAUGGCAUUACGGUUCAUCAGGAAGGAGGAGCCAGUAAGACCAGUACAUACCGGAGGCAUGACCAAUCUACUGACCCCGAAAUUCAACUACGAGCUUUUAACUGCAACAACUUUAAUAUACGCUAUUGGAGCUGGAAUUACCGCGGCU